rnacentral:rRNA from 1 species
CAAAGACAUACUAAUGAAUGUUUCUAUGAUUUACUAUUACUAAACUAGACAUUCCACUUUCAUUAGAAGAGAUGAUUAUUCUGAAAUUCUCAUCUAUGAAACUAUAUUUCCAUUUUGAAAUUCUUGAAGAAAAUAAAUUGACAGUAUCUCUUUUGACUGGAACUCAUAAUAAGAUUGUAAAAGAUUGUGUAACUCAAAUUAAAACAAGAAAAAGCCAAAGGAAAAAAAGGAUAUGAUACUCCAAACACUUAUCAUGUUCAAAGAAAAAAACAAAUUGAAACAAAAAGAGAAAGGGAGAGGGAAAGAGAAAGAAAAAGGGAAAGAAAAAGAAAAAGAAAAAGAAAAAGAAAAAGAAAAAGAGAAAGAAAAAGAGAAAGAACAAGAAAUAGAACAAGAAAGAACUAAUAAGAGAAAAAGACAGGAAAACCAACAAGAAAAUUCAAAUAAAAAAAGAAAAACAAGUAUUGUUCCGGCCAAAAGUAUGUGGACACCAUGCAUUCU